GGCUGGCUCCCUCAGUCCCUCUGGCGCCGAGAGACGACAUCGGCGACCCCGAGCUAUUCGAUGUCGACGUCGGGCGAGCGCUGCACCACCGUCCACCGCCGAGGCGAGCGUGUCGUCGGCCUCGCUGGUGGUGCUGCACCGAUUGAGCACAACGACCUCGAUCACAUCCAACGCUGCUGCGGCGGCGACCAAGGAUCUGUCGUUCGAGGACCUGCUCAAGUCCCCCGCGGAGCUGCUGGGCUAGGGCCACUUCAGGAGCUCAUACAAGGUGGUGGUAACCGACGGCACGGCGCUGGCGGUGAAACGGGUGAGGGACGCGACAGUGGACGAGGAGUUCCAGCGGCGGAUGGAGCGGGUCGGGCUCACCAGGCACCUGGCCAUGUUGCUGGCGUUGGCGUUCUAUUGUGCCCUGCAGGAGAAGCUGCUGGUGUACAAGUUCUAGAGCAGCGUCAGCCUCGCCAAGAUCCUGCACGGUAACGUUGUUCACCCGCGUCCUGUUUUCGUGGCUUCUCAGACUCUAUUUUUAUGCACGGGCAUAAAUAAAGGAAACCUGUUUGAUUUUUACAAAUUAGUGAGCGAUAUUCUAUUCUAAGGGCCUAUUCGGUUCAACUUUUUUCUAAGAAGCUUUUUCUGACAAUCUGGCUUUGAAGAGAAUUUGGUUGUGGAAAAGAAUAUGAGAAUCGAGACGUGAGGAGAUAAAAAAGUCCAUAAUAUUUAGGAGGUAGAAAGUGAUGGUUUCCUACUAUCACAACGGCUCGACCGAUUCUGUGUUACGUUGAUUUUAGACAAUUUUGACAAAAGUGAUUUUCAUUAAAAACAGGCUGAAAAAUUGAGUGUUUAGCACUGCAACAACUUUUGGUGACCAGAAGCUAAAACAAACAAAGCCCAAAUCAGAUACCUUGUCUUAGCUUUACAAUAUAUUUUUGACUCAUAUUUUGACACUUAUAACUUUUAUUGCAAAGUAGCCCGUGCCUUCUCAAAUUUUAGAAGGUCAAGUUUUCUUUUAUACACCAAAAGAUGAAAUAGUCUGUUAAUUAAUACUGGUGUUGAGCACCAAAUUGAGGCCGGACG
rnacentral:misc_RNA from 1 species